GAUGAACGCUAGCUACAGGCUUAACACAUGCAAGUCGUGGGGCAGCAUGGGGGUUGCUUGCAAUCCCCGAUGGCGACCGGCGCACGGGUGAGUAACGCGUAUCCAACCUGCCCUUCACCACGGGAUAACCCGGCGAAAGUCGGACUAAUACCGUAUGUUGUCCAUUGACGGCAUCCGAUUUGGACGAAAGGUUUGGCGGUGAAGGAUGGGGAUGCGUCCGAUUAGCUGGACGGCGGGGUGACGGCCCACCGUGGCGACGAUCGGUAGGGGUUCUGAGAGGAAGGUCCCCCACACGGGAACUGAGACACGGUCCAGACUCCUACGGGAGGCAGCAGUGAGGAAUAUUGGUCAAUGGGCGUAAGCCUGAACCAGCCAAGUAGCGUGCAGGAUGACGGCCCUAUGGGUUGUAAACUGCUUUUAUGCGGGGAUAAAGUGGCCCACGUGUGGGUUUUUGCAGGUACCGCAUGAAUAAGGACCGGCUAAUUCCGUG
rnacentral:rRNA from 1 species